rnacentral:rRNA from 1 species
UACGUAGGGGCCUAGCGUUGCUCGGAAUCACUGGGCGUAAAGGGUGCGUAGGCGGGUCUUUAAGUCAGGGGUGAAAUCCUGGAGCUCAACUCCAGAACUGCCUUUGAUACUGAAGAUCUUGAGUUCGGGAGAGGUGAGUGGAACUGCGAGUGUAGAGGUGAAAUUCGUAGAUAUUCGCAAGAACACCAGUGGCGAAGGCGGCUCACUGGCCCGAUACUGACGCUGAGGCACGAAAGCGUGGGGAGCAAACAGG